rnacentral:lncRNA from 1 species
CGCAGACGAAAUCGAUGGCUUAUGUCUGAUCAUCUUUCUUGGCUUAUAGCUGAUAUUCACUCAAGCUAAUAGAGACCACUCAAGCUUACUCGGGCAAGAUGACCUAUGGGUAUAUUUCUCUCCCUUUCUUGAUACUUCAUAUUAUAUGCAUGUAUUUGGAUAUAUUAUAUGCAAUGAUAUCUCUGUAGUUUUAGUUUCUAUGUAGCUGAGUGUACUUUGGUUGCGGAUGUGUAAGUCUUUGACGGCGUAUUUGUGGAACUUGUUAGAAGUUAGAAUCCUAUGUGAUUAUCUAUUAUGAUAUUGGUUGUUUUGUCUAGAAAACUGGACCUUACAAGAAGAAGCAGACAUAUAAUAGAGCAAACUUCUGCUUUAUCUAAGUUCAGAAGUUCAAAAAUGUUUUCCUAUGUGUUAACAUCAAUUACAUUGGAGACCAAAAAGAAAUAAGAAAAAAAAUAACGCAAGAGCAUUAGAAUGCUUUCUUUAUUUUAUUUUUUUAUUUUUUUAUUGAUUGAGGUAACUGCCAUAACAUUUGUUUUAUUACUAAUUGUUUGUGUUAUAUGUAUAUUUCAUUUAUGUCUAGAACUAAUGGAGGUAAUGUUUUUCUAUGUUAUGGAUUAAGUUUUGUUGGUACAGGUUGAUAGAAGGUACAAGUACUUCUGUAAUUGGAUGGAAAAGGAGUAUCUUCACUAUUAUAAGUAAUUGCUGCAACUGUUAAGAGAUGGAAUUACGGCCACAAAGAAGGCUAAGGGGAAGAAGGA